UACGAAGGGGGCUAGCGUUGUUCGGAAUUACUGGGCGUAAAGGGCGCGUAGGCGGUCUCUUAAGCGUGUGGUGAAAGCCCGGGGCUCAACUCCGGGUCGGCCGUGCGAACUGGGGGACUGGAGCUUGUCAGAGGCAGGCGGAAUUCCGGGUGUAGCGGUGGAAUGCGUAGAGAUCCGGAAGAACACCGGUGGCGAAGGCGGCCUGCUGGGACAGUGCUGACGCUGAGGCGCGACAGCGUGGGGAGCAAACAGG
rnacentral:rRNA from 1 species